AAAUUCGUUAAAAAUAUUUAUGCGUAUACUGCAGGACGGCGAGCCUGAGUUUAUUCAAGAAAAUACAAUGCAACACGUCUUUUGCGUGGAAAAUCCCAACAGGCUUCCCCCCAGAUCCUCCAAAUCGUAGGCAUUGUUCCCUAUAGGGAGACCGACUCGGCAUUUCACAUAUUUUCGAGCAAACUUGGCAUUGUACAUCAUUCUUGGCCAGGCUUGGCAUGGAAAACUCGAGCCUGUUUGUUAUAGCGCUGGUUGCUGUAUUCAUAUGCCUGAUGAAGAUUUUUCCGGAUGUGAUCGCGGAUAAGUUGGCGCUUAUCUACUGGAUCUAGCUUCGUUAUUUGAUGUUCUGUCAAGGACUGCAGUUUUCUUGCCAGUCGACAAUCGACACUUCUAUUUCCGUUUUGAUUCCUUGCAUUUGGUGCAAUUCCGGACAUACUCCCGCACUUGUGUCGUCAUAGCCGGCCAGUAGAAAUGACGUUUUAGACGAUGAAGUGUCUUUUUCAUCCCCCGUGUGCAGCUUUGUGAUCCUCGUGCGCGUUCGCUACCACUUCCUGCAUCGCUGGUGAUAGCGGAUAACAACGAUCCUUAAACGGUACUGCGCCCCCCACCAACUGGAUAUAGUGCUGUUCUGCUGCAGUCGUUCCUAGCCCAGCUUCUUCGUCCCAAGUUCUACUUCCGUUUCUUGUCUUCUAUCUUCCGCAUAGUGGCUGAUCUCGGACAUCUUGACUUCAGCUACUUGGGCGUGACUGGAUUCGCUGUUUUCGUCGCCUAGAACUGCUGGAGCCAACUCAAAAAUCUCCAGAUAUCGAUACCCAAGUACAUCGAUUGUUCCAGAUCUGUCUUCGCGACGAACACAUAUCUGUCCAUCUCUACCCCGAGUUCGGCCAUCAGCUCCCUACUGUCUUCGCCCAGUAGACUUACGGAGGCUCCUGUAUCCAGCAGUCCCGCAAUCUUCCGGCCGUGUAUGGUACCCCAGCGAAAACCCAUGGAUCCGUUCUCGUUCCACGUUGGACUGAUUCGCCACCUACUUACGCGUUUGUCGCCUUAAAGCGUGAGCGGGUCUUUAGAACCCUGCGGCUGACUCCCCGCAUACCUGCAAGCUGUCUGGCGUCGAAAAUCCUGUUUCCGACUUCCAUAUAUAUUUUCAUUCUUUCCUCGGCUGCGAGAUAUCGAAGAAAAGGGACAAAAAAGGAACGGAAGGAAAGGAAUUCAAAAUACUUACGAAACAAAAUACUACAUACUAAUUUCGUGGUCUUUUGCGUGGAAAAUCCCAACAGGCUUCCCCCCAGAUCCUCCAAAUCGUAGGCAUUGUUCCCUAUAGGGAGACCGACUCGGCAUUUCACAUAUUUUCGAGCAAACUUGGCAUUGUACAUCAUUCUUGGCCAGGCUUGGCAUGGAAAACUCGAGCCCGUUUGUUAUAGCGCUGGUUGCUGUAUUCAUAUGCCUGAUGAAGAUUUUUCCGGAUGUGAUCGCGGAUAAGUUGGCGCUUAUCUACUGGAUCUAGCUUCGUUAUUUGAUGUUCUGUCAAGGACUGCAGUUUUCUUGCCAGUCGACAAUCGACACUUCUAUUUCCGUUUUGAUUCCUUGCAUUUGGUGCAAUUCCGGACAUACUCCCGCACUUGUGUCGUCAUAGCCGGCCAGUAGAAAUGACGUUUUAGACGAUGAAGUGUCUUUUUCAUCCCCCCGUGUGCAGCUUUGUGAUCCUCGUGCGCGUUCGCUACAUUCUUUUUCAGUGAUGGAAUACAAAAUCUGAUGUUUAUACUAUUAAGCUUGGAAGAGAAGAAAGCUACGGGACGCUCUGAAUUUUCGUCGUCCAACUGGAACAAUACUGCUCCCACUCCAUUGUUAGAGGCGUAGCAUUGGAUAAAGAAUGGACGUUUAAAAUCAGCAUGGACUAAUAUUUGCGCUGUAGUUAGCGCCAUCUUGCCUCUUGGAUGUUUCUUGAGGUCGUCGGUUAGCGGUGCUGCAAUGGAUGCAAAGUUUUUAAUGAAUCGCCUGUGUCACCCUGCUGUACCUAGGAAGCUUAGUAUCUCCAUUACGUUCUUCGGAUCAGGAUUCUUCUGUAUGGCCAACACUCUUUCUGGAUCCAUUUGCAGCUUCCACCCCCCAAUGAUAAACUCAAAGCAUUGUGCUGACAAACGGAGAAAUCGCAGAUGCGUCUGGAGGCCAGGAGCUAUCACCAGAAGAUCGUCCAGAUAGACAAAUACGUUUGAUCGUAGUUGUGUUGGAAUGACUUGGUCCAUCAGUCGACAUAAUCUUUGGGCAGCAUUGCAGAGACCGAAGGGCAUCAUCACGAAUUGGUAAAGUGGACGUCCGGCUACUGUGAAAGCGGUAUACUUCCGGCUUUCCGGUUCCAAUUUUAUUUGUCAGAACGCAAAAUUUAAGAUCGACGCUAGAUAUAUAUUAUGUCUGGUCGAUCCUAGACAAUAUGCCUUCGAUACUCGGGAGAGGGUAGGCGUCCUUUAUGACCACUUCCUGCAUCGCUGGUGAUAGCGGAUAACAACGAUCCUUAAACGGUACUGCGCCCCCCACCAACUGGAUAUAGUGCUGUUCUGCUGCAGUCGUUCCUAGCCCAGCUUCUUCGUCCCAAGUUCUACUUCCGUUUCUUGUCUUCUAUCUUCCGCAUAGUGGCUGAUCUCGGACAUCUUGACUUCAGCUACUUGGGCGUGACUGGAUUCGCUGUUUUCGUCGCCUAGAACUGCUGGAGCCAACUCAAAAAUCUCCAGAUAUCGAUACCCAAGUACAUCGAUUGUUCCAGAUCUGUCUUCGCGACGAACACAUAUCCUUCCAUCUCUACCCCGAGUUCGGCCAUCAGCUCCCUACUGUCUUCGCCCAGUAGACUUACGGAGGCUCCUGUAUCCAGCAGUCCCGCAAUCUUCCGGCCGUGUAUGGUACCCCAGCGAAAACCCAUGGAUCCGUUCUCGUUCCACGUUGGACUGAUUCGCCACCUACUUACGCGUUUGUCGCCUUAAAGCGUGAGCGGGUCUUUAGAACCCUGCGGCUGACUCCCCGCAUACCUGCAAGCUGUCUGGCGUCGAAAAUCCUGUUUCCGACUUCCAUAUAUAUUUUCAUUCUUUCCUCGGCUGGUAGAAACCUUAACUUAUUAAUACCUAAUAUAUUUUGUUUAUUAAUAAUAUGUUGAUCAUUUACUUCAAGCUUAUCAUCUACUUCGACGCAGGUUUCCAGCCUAAGCGUUGCUCACCUGAUUUCGUCACGCUUGGUCGGCUGUUUCCCGAACAAUUCGCUCAUGUCGGAGUAAAGUGUUCCGGUUUUCCACAGCGGUAACAAAAGAUGCUGCGUUCCUUGGCCACACAAUCGCGGAAUCCGUGAUCAAACUGGCCGUAGUUCCAACAACA